rfam:Prochlorococcus marinus str. MIT 9211, complete genome.
GCGGAUGUGGCGGAAUUGGUAGACGCGCAUGUUUCAGGUACAUGUGGCCUUGUGCUAUGGGAGUUCAAGUCUCCCCAUCCGCA